UGGAUACGAUAUUCUCUACUCACCAUAGCUAUACUAUUGUUCGAUAGGUGUGCUUGCCUUUGUCGUAUUUAUAGUUAUUUUAGUGACCAUCAAGUUUUUGGCGCUUUUGUCAGGGGCUAAAAUAUUAGGAACACUCGAUUUUUAUUAAUUUAGCAUUUUUUCUUUUUAUUAUAAUUGUUUUUGUUUUUUUAGUUUAAUUUGUACUAAUUUUUCUUUUAUUUGCUUCUGGUAGGUUCCUUUAGUUUAUGACUAGAAGAAACCCGUCGGGACCAUUGUUAUUUGAUAGUGAAAUCAAAAGUAC
rnacentral:lncRNA from 1 species